GGUAAGGGGGCGUGGCAACGUUGUCACGCCCCUCAGAGUUGUGGCUGAAGGGGCUGGUGAUUCCAAUGCAGCAGAAGUUCCCAGGAACUGUCUGGGACCAGGAAACAGCAAAGCGGUGCUACCCUCGGGAAGAAAGGAGACACAGCUGCUCUGGGAACAGAUCCUGGUGGUGGGGAGAGACAUGGCAGCUGCUGGCCCUCCGUUGGGAGGCUCAGGCCUGCACUUAUUACAGGAGCCUGCUAGGUGUCCCCGUGGCCCACGUAAGUAAGCACUUGCUCAUGCAGAGUCCCUGGGAGCAGCGAGGCUGCGAGGCUGUGUCCAUGGACCUCGGGGGGAUAUCCUUGGUGACAGUCAGGCAGAGGCUGAGGCAUCUCAGCCAGUACUGAGCCUUCUCCUCUCUUUGCAGCUCUUCAGGAGCAGGAAGAAGAGGAGACUGAGGCCUUCUCAGCCUAGGCAGGGAGCUGCUGGCCAAGGGGCCAGGCGCAGAGCCACUGGAGCUGCUGGAGCCUGAGGAGGAACUGAUGCUGGUGGACUAAGCAAGUGAUGUGGAGAAGACUGCAGCCAGUGUGAGAGACUGCAGCUGUUGUGUCUCCUGUGUCCCUACCUGGAGCCAAGAGUGGGCUCCUGAAGGCAGCUCUUGCCUCCUGGGGUUGCCUGCCAGGCCUUGCCCUGCCCACCCAGGCCUAGCUCUGUCCCCCUGCUCCCACACCCCCUAUUCCUGCAGCUUCAUGAAUAGAGGAGGGGCAGUUUCUCCAGCCCCAAUUACUCCUGUCCCACUGUAUCUACUGCAGCACCAGGUACCUCCCCUCUUCUGUGACUCAUUCACCACAGGACAGACACAGUAUCCCCAGUGUCCGGAAGCAUGGGGACCCAUGACACCUGUUUCAGCCUCCAGAGGGGCAGGUAUGACCUCCAGGCUGGCUACUUAGAAGGGAGCUGGUUGGGGCAGGUGGGAGGGUCAGAGGUGGCCCUGCCUGGAGGGGGCCAGUGUGGGCACCACAGGGACACAGGUUGGGGACUCAGGUAGAGCUGGGGGCUAUGUCUCCAUGGCAAGGGCUGCACAGGUCCCCAGGAGCUGUUAUGUAAGGAGAAAGCUGUUGUAGUUAGGUGAGGCGUGGUCCUACUGAGGAGCUGCCUGUGCAGUGUGCUGGUGCAGCAGUAGGCAUGCACACAUGGACCAGCAGAGAGGAGGCAGAGACAGAAGUGCAGGGGAUGGGGAGGUGGCAACUUCUGUGGGCCCCAUAGGCCAGGGAAGGGGCGAGCAUCCUCCAGGGAGAGCAGGAGGCCAGAAGUCAUAGCUCUUCCGAGGUUGUGAACAUCUCUUCAGUUGCCCACAUCGGUCCCUGGCUGGGUCAAGGUCUGGCACGACAAGGCCGAUGAACCCCUCUCCGUCAGUGACACUGCUGUCCCUGAGCCUGAGUGUAACUGAGGCUGCAGCCCCUGGGGAUGCAGAGGGACAGGUGCAGCUCUUGCGGAUCAGGAUCCCCAAACGCUGCUGUACCCUGGCUACCCUGCUCGGCUCUGCAACAGAUCUCUCCUCUUGCUUGGGUCAGGUACUGACCUCCCACACUGUCCCCAGGGUCCUUCCCUCCUCCCAGCAAAGGUCCCCAGCUCCUGCAAGUCCCAGCCCAGUGAAUGCCGUGGCCUCGAUGUUGGCACCCCCGCAUUGUGGAAGUUCUGCUCAUGUUGGAGUCUGUCAUUGUGUUGUCCUCUUCACUAGGCCUGGACUGCUGGAUGGCCAGAGCCUCCUGCAGACAGACGCCAAGUGCUGUUCCUGCACCCUUCAUGCUCAGUCACACGGCGGCCCUUUCUUAGAGUUAUUUUUGUUUUGAGUCCAGGACCCUGGGUAAUGACUUGGGCUUGGGGACCCAGAGUACCUUCCCCUUCCUCCCCACACUCCCUGGGCUGCACAGACCCAAGUGGCAGGGCAGGUGGGGCUGGAGCUUGUGGGGGUGGCAGGCAGCACCCCAGUGGUUGUGGGGCGCCUUGAUGUGGUAUCAGGUCUGCUGGCUUUUGGCCCUGAACCCCCACCAACUAGGUCUGUGUCUGGGGAGGAGGGCAGUGCUCUGGGCUUGUCACUCGCUGUCCCUCGCUUAGCUGAGUUGGUGAGGAGAGACUGGUGUGUUCUGUCCCAGAGGGUGGACCAGGAUGAGGAGGACCUGGAGGAGGAGCACAUCAUAAAGGUGAGACGCCCAGCCUGGGGCAUGUGUAUAGGGCUUUCCCAUGCGAGGACCACUUUUCUCUCUUGCUGUCCUCACUCUGAAGUUCCAGAGGAGAGUGAGCAUCGGCCUCAGCCUCCACCUCACACUUGGGGUGAUGCGUGGGAGUGGCCCCUGGCCCAUGUUGUCCCUGGGAGGUGAGGGUGAGGACAUGGCAGUCCCGAGCCCCCAAGCCCUAUGCUCCAGCAAUGUCACCAGGCCUGGAUGGUGUCGCCGGGCUGGCCUUCCUUGGUGACAUCUGAUGCAGGUUGUGCUGCCUCCUUUGGAACUGCAAUUGCAGUCACUGUCUCUUCCUGCAGGCUCCAGGCCUGGAUGCUCCGAGAGCACCUGGGGCAGUUCUGUGCCCCCUUUGACCUCCUCUUUGCUCUGGGCAGAUUUACUACUGCAGCCCGACACACUCCCAGGUGGCCCAGGUCAUGCAGAGAGUUCAAAAGAGCCCCUUUGGUAAAGAUAUCAGGCUGGGACAUGGAGCAGCUGGUGACCCUUGGGAGGGACACCCGGGCCUGCCCCUAUUACGGGAGCCAGCUGUGCCCAGGUGAGAGCAUGCUUGUGCAGGGGUUUUUGCUCUGUAGUCUGGGAAGACACCCCCCAAAUGGCAACGUUGGCCAGCUCUGAUGGGUCCAAGGGCGGGAGGCCAGUCAUUGGUAUGGAACCCUAGACUAAGUGGGUGAUCAUGAAGAAACUGAGGCACGCUUCUCCUCCCUUCCUCAGUCUCCUCCUUAAAUCUGGCCCUGCGUGCGUGAGGUGAGUAUAAGGAGUGGUAGACCUGCUGAUGGAUGCACAGGAAGAAGCUGGGCAGUCAGGGACCUGAAUUCCUCAGCCAACUUUGCCUUUGUAGUGUCCCACUGAGGUCAUUAUGUGUUGUAUGUGAAGUUCUUUGACUGCCUUGUGUGAUCACUGUAUGUGAGCUUCAGUGCUCACAUGUGAACUAGGACCUUAUGCUUCUGGGGUUCUGAGUACUUCUGAUUGUUCAUCACUGUUUUUUACUGGAGAAUGUGUUUUCUCUUGUGCAGUACUCGAGACUGAACCUAGGUCCUUUGAACUGAGCUGUAUCACCCCCACCCUUUGUUGUUGUUUAUAUUUUUAAAAAAAAUUUUAAGACAGGGUCUUAUCACAUUGUUGCCCAGGCUAAGACAGAACUUGCCAUCUUCCUGUCUCAGCUUCCCAGGGUGCUGGGAUGACACAUGCACCACCAUACCUGCCUUUGAAAAUCUUUAUAACAAAAUGUACCUAAAAUUGACAAAGUACGAAAGUUUGAUUACUGCCCUCCACUCCUCCACCCUCAGCUGAGGCAGAGUUUAUUGAGCUGAGUAGCAAAUGAGGAAUCUGAGCCUCCGAAGUUACACAGCUGUCACAGAGUCACACAACUCUGUGAGUGGCAGCAGCUCCAGCACUGCAGAUCAUAGCUGAUUCCUGGGCUUUAGAGCUGCAUGGGGGCUUAGGUGAGGUCAGCAGCAGAGAUUCCCCAGUUCUUUCUCAUCCUUGAUCCCCUUCUGAGUCUCUCAGCUCCAAGCCUCCUGUGUCCGUACUUCUGAGACAGGCUGGGGAUGCAGUUACAGUUCUACACAGUCACUUUCUCUCCCAGAUUUCCCUAAACAUGGAUGAUCCAGGCAGGGAAUAACACAAUUCCCAUCAGGACUGAGGGGAGCAGGCAGGUUCUCCAUGGGACCAGCCUGGCCACCACCCCAGCAGCCUGCUCUCUCCCCUCCAGAUGGUGGUGCUGCCCUACCUGAUGCUCCCACAUGUGGCCACACAGCAGGCUGUGGGCAUCUGGCUGCAGGGCCAGGUCAUCAUCAUAGAUGAGGCACACAUCCUGAUCUACGCCAUCACGAGCAUCCAUGGCACAGAGGCUAGUGGGUCCAGCUGGGUUGGCCUGCAUGGGGCUUCAGGCCAUGGACCCUUCCCCCGAGACCCCAGAGCUUGAUUCUUCCAGGGACAGCACUUGGCAGAGCUUCACAGAGGCUGCUGGUUGGAUGGGAAGGGGGCCAUAGAGCAGCAGGGGUCUCGGGUCGCUGGUUCUUGUUACUCUCUUGUGUUGCUCAGGUGCACUUGGGGUCCCCACAAGCUUCUCUUCCUACUCCUUAAUGUCCUGUGUGCUGCGUUAUCUGCUUCUGCCCUUCUUGCUGACCCUCAGUGGGGCCGAAGUCCUGACUGAUGCUGGGAGCCUGGGGACUCAGAGGGUGAGGCUCGUGCCCAAGGUCACACAGUGCAGGAAUGGGGAGCAGAGAUGGGACCGCUGGCUUCACACCAGCUGAGCAGGGCCCAGGUACUUUAGGCUGCAGUGUGGUGUUUGCCAUGUGAAACCCCAGGUCUUUCCCCAUUGGAUGGAAACCAGCAGGGAGUUUCCUUACCUGAGGGUUUCAGCCUCUCCCUUUGCCCAGCCUGAAGUGGCUGCACACAGACCAGAGCUUCCUGUGCCCUCAGCUCUGUCAGCCCCAGGGUCAUAGACCCACACUGUAUGGGUUCCUGGCUUCUGAGACCCAUGCUUGUGACAGAUCCUGUGAGUCCCAAGCUGGCAUUUUCUGCACAUGGCAUCAGUUCUCCCUGGCCCAGUGCUCAGCUGCUUGUCCAGAGCCUGGUCUGACCUCAGCCUGUGCUCCGUGCUCUGUCCCCAGCUCUGCCUGGCCCACUCCCAGUUGGUGCAGUACAUGGACCUGUACAGGUGGGGCGUGCCUCGGGGUUAAGGGAAGGUCCUGGUCACUUUGGCUUACAGAGAGUGUGCCUGGCUCAUCUUCCCAUCACGGUCCUCUGUCCUUGGGGUGUGCCUCAAGGGGCCCUGCUUGAGACAAGACUGCUGGCUCUGGGAGCCAGCCUGUCUUUUUCCUGUGGUGGUGAUAGUUUGUGAUUCAGCUGGGCCAGGUAGUGGGGACCUGUAGGGAAGCACCAACUCGAGUCCUGCAGGUUUCUCAGCAGGAAGCAUCUGAAGGUCAAGAACCUGAUGUACAUCAAGAAGAUUCUGUAUUUGCUGGAGCAGUUUGUGGCCCUGCUGGGAGGUAGGUAGGCACUUUCCCAGACCUUGCCUUUUCCUUGGCUGCCAGGGACCCAGAGAUCUCCCGUGGGUAUCAGCUGUGUCUUGGUCAUUGAUCUGUGAGAUUCUCCUAUCUUCUGCUGAGUCCAGCAGUCCAACCUCACAGCCUAGUGCAUUUGCCUAUAUUCUGUGCCCUUUCAUUGUUUUCUUUUUGGUACCAGGAAUCAAACUCAGGACUCAGGACUUUCACUUGCCAGGAAGGCAUUGUGCCCUGACCCCGCUGUGUCCUUCCUCCCACCAACUCUUCUCCACUGGUGACCUGGUGACGCAGUGUGUGAGAUUCUGUGAAUGGGUUGCGCCUGGCAGCAUCUACAGUGCCCUGCAUGGCCUCAGUUUCAUUUUUCCCAUGACGGGAGCAGCCUAUGUGUUUGAACCCAGUUUAUAGAUCAGUCACUGAGCAGAGACCAGGUGCUUUUCGUGUGACCCUGCUGCAGACUCCUGGCCUGGUCGUAAGUUGUGCAUCUGUGCCUGUGAAGGCGGGGAGCCAGUGAAUCUGUGCAGAGCGAUCUUAACCCACAUGGGCUCCCGUUUCUUGUGCCUUGGCCACUGCAGCCCGUAGCCCUGGCUCCCUGCACUGUACACAGUGGGCGGCCAGCUGAGAUGCCCAGGAUGAGGAGAAAAAGGAAGGAAACUGUUUUCUUGCACACCAGGCCCACAAGGCCACUGGAACCUCUGUUCUCUCUGUGUGUCUCUGCUUGCCAUAAAUGACCAAAAGCAAAGCAGCCACGGGAGCGUGCUGAGACGCGAAGGCUUAGUUACACGAGCAGUGUGGAGAUGAGAAAGCGGAAGUGGGUGGUGGGUGACUGCACCCUGACCUGUUUGUAUGUUUCUCUGAGGGAAUAUCAAGCAGAACGCCAACACAGAGCAUCUCGCAGACAGCUGAGGGGUCAGCUACUAUGUCCCUGUGACACUGGAAGCUGGGCUAAGAGCAGGCUCCCAAGCCCUCUUGCUGUCUCCGCCUCCUCUCUGCUCUUGAGAUGGAGCUAAAUACCAUCAAGGAUUCCUCUUUCAGAGCCAGGUGGACAGCAUCAACCUGUUCAAGGUAGAGCUGCCACUUUUCCAUGCAGGCCCACCACGUGUCCUUGUUGGUGCCAGCUGUGGGCACUGCUGCUUUCAGGUCACAGAAGGAAUAAAAAGCAGAGACCCUGUCAAGCAGCAGGCUGAGGACUGAGGAUCCAAAACACAGAUGUGGGAAAUUACUGGCCCCUUAAAGCAUUGUAUAUCCAGGAACUGACCUUCAGUCUGGGCUCGGGCUCAGUGAGAACAGGAGUCUUUCUAGGACCUCAAGGGUCACAGUGGCGACCACAAGUUCCCCUACUUCUCUUCCAUCUCACCCCAGAGCCUCAGCUCUAUUCACAGCCUCUGACCUUCGCUCCCCCUCACCCUGUACCUCUGGGUCUUCUGCCUGGUGAAUAGACACUGUCACUGUGGAGUCACUUAGUGACUCCACAGCCUUAGCCACCCCUGUAAACAGAACACAUGCUGAGUUGUGAGGAGUGACAGUUGGGGGCCACAUGACAGCACCCUAAGCUAUGGGCAUAACAGUCCCCACACCAAGCAGCCAGGAAAGCCUUAUGUUUUGCCCACUGAUGCUCUGGGCAUUGCCUUUCUAGGGGAUUCUUGGCUGGAAUUACAGAUACGUAGUCUUGGGAAGACACAGGACACCAGCAGGCAUUUAAGUAGGGUAGAAAUGAUGCGUUUGAGAAGCUCCUUUCUUUUUGAGUGUGUAGGGGGUUGGGUCUUUUGUUUUUUGGUUUCUGUCAUCUCUGAUACUUAGUUAUACAGGGAUCUCUUGGUUAAUGUUUCAGUUUCCGUAUGAAGAGUCCCCUAACACUCUUGUAUGGAGGGCCUGAUUCGCAAUGCAGUAGAGUUCAGAGCUGGAGUCUAGAAAGGUCAGUGAUUCCUGAGGGAUCUCAGCUCAUCAGUGGAUUGAUCUGUUGAGUUCAGAACUGGGGGACCAUGAAGAGGUGGGCCCAGGUGGAGAGAGUAGGUCAUGGAGGAAGGAGGGGAGGAGACAUGUUUGAUCAUGUCUUGCCCUUUCCCCAUGCUCUUGCUCUCUGAUUGCCUUCUCUUUGAGAUGAAGUAUCCUGCUUUCCUGUGCGAUGCUUUUCCACCAUAUGAUUCUGCCUUGAAGUUGGUUGUAGCCAUGAACCAAGACAUGUGAAGUGAAGAGCCCAAAUCAAUAUUUGCUGCUUUGAGCCACGGAAGUCAGGUAUUUUGUUCCAGGAGUGAAAAGCUGAGUAAUAGAACCCCAGAGAAGUGGGAUUGUUGGCUGUGAUGAUGGGAUGGCCAGUGAUGUGAUUCAGAAGCCUUCAGUUUGUGGAAGUAAUUUGGAAAGGUUUAGAAACCCAUGCUAGAGAAGCUCCAGAAUGUGGUAAGUGGAAGUGAAUGGACAGUGUUGAGGGGGAGUUUAGAGGACCAGAGUGCCCAUAGAAUGAGAACGGAUUAUGUCCAUCAACUUCCACAUGCAGAGAAGGAUACAACUUGAAGUCAGACGAGAGGCCAUUCAUGUUACAUUCUGGCAAAGAAAUUGUCUAUAUUUUAUCCAUGCACUAAAAAUUUGCAGGAGGCUGAAAGGUGAACUAGUUUACCUAGUGGCUGAAAUGUCAAGGCAGCACAACUCUCAGACUGUGUCACAGUAGGGAUCCACUGACAAGCUCAGUGGCUGAGUGUGAUGUCCGGGGCUGGGUCCUACUGUUAUUCUUGGCCCUGGCUUCUCCUUUCUGUCUUUGCUUCCUGGAUACUGUGAGCUGGGAACCCUUUCCUCCACUAUUUUCUUCCUGAGGCCAUCUCUGCAUCCAAUGGUGGCCUGAAAACAUGACAUGAAAGAAACCUUCCUUCUUUUAGUUAUGGAUGACAGUACUGUCUCAGAGUUGUGAAAGUGACUUCUACAGCGCAGGAGGGUGAUAUGUGACAGACUCCCUGCAGGAGCCACUGAGAGGUUGAUGUGUGAAGCCAUGUGAAAGAGGCCAAAGCUUCGAUGGAGACCCCUAAACCUGAAAAUGCUAGGAAUGUGGAAUGUGGGCUAAGGGAUGAUGUGGGUAAGGAACCCAGCCAGCUCUAGAGAGAGGCUAUGUGGCUGCAGCUGGCAAGUCAUAGAGGUGGAACCACACAAUACCUUUGGGGUUCAUGUACUGUCACCUUGUGCACAGAUGUCAGUCAUGGAGUUCCCAGAUUUAAUGUUUGCCUUGAAAGAGUUUUGUCCUACUUCCAUCCAAUUCUUUUCUGCCUCAUACUCAACACUUUUGCUUUGAGAGUGUUGACACUAGGUAUAAAGUUUACUGGCUGUUUUACAUUGGGAGUGUGUAUCACACAUCUGGAAUCUUACAGGGGUUUACAGGUAAGAGUUGCUUUAAUUCUCAGAGGAGACUUUGGAUGUGGGGUUUUGAGAAAUGCUGAGAACUUUUGAGACGUUAGCAACACUUUGUCAUAGACUAAAUUCAUUUUCCAUAACAAAACGCACAAGAGGCCUUGGGGGCCAGGAGAAGAAUGUUAUAGUUUGGAUAAAUGUGAUCUUCAAAUGGCUCAUGUGUUCAGGGAGGGGGCGGCAUUUGGAGGUGAUUAGAUAAUGUGGCACUGAUCUCAUCAAUGGAUCGAUUCACCAGUGAGGCCAUCACAGAAUGGGUGACUAGAGAGGGCAGGCCCUAGGUGGAGGGAAGGGCCCUUGGGUAUGCCUUUGGAAUGUUUCUCUUCCUUGCCUUUACCAUUUCCUAGCUGCUGUGAGGCAAACCUCUGAAACCAAGAGCCAAAAUAAACUUUCUCCUUCAAACUGUGUGUGCCGUCAUUUUGUUCUGCAAUACAAAGCUGUGGUCCGAAUUAAGUCUGUCUCUGAAUCUUAGUGCUGCAUAACUGGGAAUAGCAGUGUCUGAGGAAGGGUAAGAAACGCUUGGCUACCUUCUGUGGUCUCCCCACAUUCUGUCCACAGCUGAAUGCAGCACUCUAUGAAAAUUCUAUCCCAAGUGUCUGACUUAGUGUAUCAGCUGUUUCCUGCUGGAAUGCUGACAUUUCAAUGCACUGAAAGUAUAAGGAACAAAAUGUACCCAUUUUGGGUUUUAUUACUCCUUAGUUCUUAUUACUUUUUUUGCGGGGGGAGAGAAUAAAGUCAAAUAUGGCAAAACAAAGCUGUCAGUCAAAACCAAGGAUAGACAUAGCACAUGAUGUGAAACAGAGUACAAGGUUAUCAACAAUGGUUAUAUUGGUCUUGUUCUCUACUGUUUUGUCCAACUUUAUAAUAUCUAAUGAGAUAGACAAUUCUUUUUCAGGAAACAAGAGACAACGUUGAUAACCAUUGUUGAUAACCUUGUACUCUGUUCUGUCUAUCCUUGGUUUUGACUGACAGCUUUGUUUAGCCAUAUUUGACUUUAUUCUUUCCCCCCCAAACAAGUAAUAAGAACUAAGGAGUAAAAAAAUCCAAAAUGUGUAAAUUUAGUUGUAAAAAAGAGAGGGGAUAAAAAAGAGCUCUAACGGAUAUAACAGCAAGUGUGUUUAGGGGUGUUAAAUACCUGACUAUAUUAAUGUUUUUGGAUCAUUGAACAUAGCUGUUUGCAGUCUCUCUGUUUGAAUGUCCACUUUGUAUUCUUUGAUACUGUGAUUUGAGCAACUAUUUCCAAGAUGAUUAUAUGUGAUCUAUUAACAGGUGAUUUCUUACUGUUAGGGUUUUUUUUUUUUGUAGUUCUGUAUUACGUGUACCCUUAUACCGCUUUGUUUUGUUUUGUGUUUUUCUCUUUUUCCUCUUAAAUAAAAUUUAAAAAAAAUGUCUCUUGUUUCCUUAAAAAGAACUGUCUAUCUCAUUAGAUAUUAUAAAGUUGAACAAAACAGUAGAGAACAAGAGCAAUAAAACUUAGGCAUUGUAAACAUUACAGGACUUCCAAAGGAGACUAUUGUCAAACCAGAAUGGGCAUCUUAGUGAAUCUUAUUGCCUUCAAAGUAGUUGCCUAUACCCUCAAACUUGAUACUAUCAUACAGAAUGGAACAGAGUCUAAUCAGUCAAAACAAGAUCGUGGGAGUAUUACAGGACUUCAAAACAAGUUAAUAGUAAAUCAAAAAAAGUUACUAUUAUAUAUCCUGCUAAUUUUUAAAAUUUUUCCCCUUAAUUAAAAAAAACAUAAAAAAUAACUAAAUAAUUUUUUAAUGAAUAAAGGAGAGAUUGAGAUAAAACAGGACAUAACAAUAUAACAAUACAGGUCAAAGCAUGACUGUUUCAGCAACCUAGUGCUUCACCACCAAAUAACCCAACUUAAUAGUAGUUACCAUAGUGUCUGUCUUUUUCCUUGAAAUAUUGGAAUAAAACUUCAUAUACUAUAGCUUCAAGUAUUUCCAUAUCAAGAAGCCCAGAAUAAAGUCUUUCCAAUUAAUAAGUGAUAAAAAAAGAAAGUAUAAAAAGAAAACCAUGAUAAUGGAUGUAUCCCUACACAGUGAGGUACACAAUCACAUCUCCAAUGACAUUGUCUCCACCCUUCCCUCAUCACCACUCCCCUGUUCUACUCCAGCCAAACUGUUUCCUCGGGGUAGGUUCUUGCAUGGCAAGAUAGCUGUUAGCAUCCCAUUUAUUAGUAUCUGUCCAAAUGCCUUUUAUAUGAGUACCUUUCCUCUCCUGUUCUGUGAAUGGUAAGUUUUCAGACCCUUCACCUCUUGUAACAGAAGAUCCAUUACCAAUUUGUUAGUUUCCCAGGUAAUACUUCUGGUUACAGCUGGUCACUGUGAAGCAUAGCUGGUUACUAUGAUGCAUAUUGUGAGAUCUAAUACCCAGUUUACAAUGCAUUCUGCCUUGAACUUCCUUCUUUCUUAUCCCAUAUAAGCCCUAGACCACUAGAUAUCAGGACCUGAUAUUUUGGGGAUGAUCCCAAUGAGUGCCUGCUGACUUAAAUAAAUCUGUCUUCAAAUACUGGGUGUUGUUCUGGUGUUUUUGGCUGCUGUAGCAUCUGGUGCAUCAGCUGGGAAGAUCAAGCAUGUUGACCUCUUUGGUCACCUGUGAUGGCCCUCUUGCAUGGAGCAAGGACCUCUCCAGGUCUUGACAGGAAAGUGCAUCUUGAAGAUUUUUUGAGUCCUCUCAGAGGUCGGGAUACCUGGCUUCAUAUUUGAGUGGGUCACAUAGCACCCCAAGGGGAGGAGGAUGCAGUCUGUUUGUCUGUCUGUGCAUUCUAAUGUGAUCCUUGGCAGCAUUAUUCUGUAAGUCCUGCUCAGCUUGAGCAGAAGGGGAGUCUAAUCAAUUCUCCUGAGGGAAAGGGUAGAAUGUUUAACUUGUGAGUGCCUGUUGAAGGAGUGUGUGAGUGAGUGGAAUGGACACUAAGCAAAAAUGUAUGAAUGAAAAUCCUCCUGAGGUGCAUUUAAGAAAAGGCAGAAUGGUGCUGGGCUUACUGAAUGAGGCCAGGUUCCUUUGGUUUUCCAGCAUCACCUCCCUGUACAGUGAUGCUGGGGAUUCCUGGAGGAGGAGCAAUGCCCACUCCUCCUGGUAGAAGUCCAUGUCUGCAAGCUGAAAGGUUCCCAGGUCCUAAACCAUUGAAAACCUCAUGGCUCCAUCCAGUAUCCUCCAUUAUGGACAGGGAGGGGGCAGAGGCUGACAGACCCAGGGAAGAAAGUACAGAGGACAGGAUGUGUGGAAGGGCUUAGCACUCUUAUCUUCAGCUUUAGGGCGCAGACUUUACUGCUCACCUACUGUCUAAUUGUGUUGCUUCGAAGGUCCAGUGUGAUGCUAUGCAGGGCAUCGCUCCUGGUCAUAUUGGAGGCUCCAGGAGUCCAACCUCCUUCAAGCAGCAGAGUUGAGCACAGUCCAGAGACAAUGCAAAGACAGCAGAAACAUUUAGUAAAUGAAUGAUGAUUUGAAAGAACUUAGACUCACCUACAACCAGCAUGUCAGGAGCUCACUGAUGGGUCUCCUUCCUGGUGCAUGCUUUCUCAUCAGAGGCUGGGUACAGGGAGGACUGAGCUGGGGAGGAUGAAAUAAGUCAAAAGAAUCCAGGUUAUCCCACGUUCUGGAGCCUUCUCCCCCAGUCUGAUGGUAGAAAGCCCAACUAGUACAUAACACAUGCACAUACCAUGCACACUCACAGCACACACGUCCUCCUCAUGCAGACACUUACAGCUUCCAUGAGAAACCAGGGUCCAUCUCAUGACAGCCAGAAUACAGGGCUUAAGGCUCUGGAUGACUAUGCCUAAUUCACAGAUGAGGAAAGUAAGAUUGUCAAGGAAUCGUUUUUAUCAGAUUUACAGAAGUAUUAAGUGUCAUUCUCCCACACAGGUGACACUCAGGACAAACCCCAAACCUCCAAGUCCCAAACUGCAAAAGCUGCCCAUCAGACCAAGGAUCCUGGGUUCCCAUAUCCACUCUCACUAUAUCCAGGAUCCCAUCCCUGUGCCUCUGUAUGGGCAGGGCUGCCAGGACUCCAUGUUGCCAGCCCUCAAUUUGAGAUCUUCUUGCCUUUAAAUUUGAGGCAGGGUGCCCUGGCUGGAUUUCGACUUGUGAUUCUCUUGUCACCUACAACCUGGCAUUACAGAUCUAGGUCACCACUGUUGGAUUCACUCACUACUUUAAAAAGAAAAAUUACUGAGUUAAGGUUUAAGAAGUGCUUAGCCCUGACUGGAUUUACCUGAUUUCCAUCUGGCCAUCUGUCAGCUCAUUUGGCUAGAGACAGAUUUUAUGCUCUCAUCAGACUCUGCAACCUUGUCAUGCUGAGAUCCGAAAUGGAUCAUAAGACAUCUCACCAACUUUUUUCCUGGAGCUAGUAGUACACAGCAUCUGCUCUGAUUGUGGGCAAUAAGGACGGCUGCAGGGAGGGUGUCGUGUCCUUGGAUUUGGGAGCUUGGAAGCCACAGCAGCUGCACGGGAGUGAUACUUUCCUGUGACAUUCCCUGGCUGUCUGCUCAACAUGCCCUCUUGUUCAGAAACAUCUGCACUAACUGAAACAUCCCUCACAAUGAGAAAAGGAUCAAACAUGAGCCUGGUGCUUCCCGGACACAUGGUUUCUUUGAGGACCUGUGGUGGUGAGCAUUAACUGCAAUGGGCAUCUCAGUACAGAUAACAGAGUCCCGGAGUCCUGUGACCAAGCCUAUACAAGUUACGAUUGCUCUGCAUGGAUUCCAGAAACAACACGAACUUUUACCAGUAAAGCAGUAACUAUGGAUUCUAAGAGCAAACAGAACAGAUCAGCUUUGCCAGGAGAAAUUUGUUAUACGCUGGCUUAGAUUGGUCUUCUGUUAGUGCUUCCCAAAACAGUAAGAGGCAAUAAAUAGUAAGGAGUGCUGAACUAUUGUUAUUACCAGAUACGUGCGUGUAUUUUAAGUCCAAAGCUGCUGAUUCAUAUAUGUCAAGUAAUUGACAGAUGGAAGUGUUUAUGGUAGUGAAUUGUCAGACCCCUGUGUAUUGCAGUUUGCACCCUGUUUGCACUCAAAGAGCAACGCUUCUCCCAUAGGCCAUAGUGAGCAGUUGCAUAAAGGAGGGGAAUGCGUGUGCUCAUCUUUGGCUUCUAGGACUAAUAACAGAUCUGAGUAUCAGAUAAUUGGUAAAAAAUCUUUUAAGUUGCAAAAUCACAUAAGCUUCGUAACGUUCUCUAAAUGUAUAUUGCAGUUUUGGGUACUUUAAAGGUACUCAACUAUCUACACCGCCUACGGGAACCUUCCAAUAGAUCCUUAUGACUGAUUUUAUGUGGAAUGCAAUUAAUGUUGCAGUAUUGUCCACAGCAAUGUAGAUCUAGUCAACAGUGAAAAGAUUCCAGCAAUAAACAGGCCUUGUGUGUAAUCCAACCUCUAGCUUUUCAGUUCCCACAUGCACAGGGAAAUUGCGGUGACUCCAGGCUCCAGGUGGAUGACCACUGCUGAAGGUCAGUCAGAUCCAUGGUCUCUGUACUCUUCAGAUACACAUGCAAGGAAUGAUUUGUCACACAGAAACUCUGAGUUGCAAGGAAAGGAAAGUUGAUGAAGAAGGUAAAGGGAGCCGUUCAUUCCCGUUUCCUCACCGUGCACCCUACUGAGAAAGAGCAGGUGGGCUUUCCCCACUGAAGGCUUCUCCAGUGAAGCUGUGAUUCUGCUGCUGUGAUGGUGGGUACUCAGGGUGCUUGGAUGGAGCAGUGGGGGCAGCAUCAUUUCUUCCUCAACAUGCAUCUGUCCAGUGCAAUGGGAGUGGAGCCAUGGACAGGCCACUGCCUUCACCUGGGGCUCACACAAAGAUCUAGCAGCAAACCCUGGAGGAGAACUGUGCCUGUGGGUAUCAGCCUCUAGAGACCCUGCACGCUGUGUUCUGCCCUGCAGCUGUCUGCCUGCUCUGCCUGCUCUGCCUCUUCUUUGUGAAUCAAGCUUCCUGACACCUGCACUCCAAGGCAUCUCUUCCCCUGACUCUGUUUAUUGAUGGGACCCCAGGAGUUCCUCACUCAGAAAGGACAUCCCCCUGGGAAAAAUCCAAGGCCAUCCCAUGUAUGUCUCAGAUGCUCUUGAAUGUACUGGUUUCAUUUCCUUUGGAUGUAUUCCCAAAUGUAGGGUUGCCGGUAAAGGAUGACAAUAUUUUUCUGUGUUUAGAGAAACUGCCACACCAUAUUCCAUGUUGCCAGUUCUCAUUCGUUGCCAUUUCCAUUCUCAAAUUGUAAAUUUCUUUGACAUUAGGUAUAACAAGCUUUACUUGUGAAAUGGAAAGCAUGAAAAACAAAGGAAUAAGAAUAUUAACUGUAUUAAAAGCUUUUAUGUAUCAAAGGACAGUAUCAUCAUAGUGCAAAUAUGUCCUACAACAAGUGGGAAGAUGGGAAGGGGACCGGGAGCUGGAAGUAGCAAGGUUGGGUGGCGGGGUGAGGGAUGAAAAAAGAUGUGUCCCAUGCAUGUGUCAACUGCCCACCGUGAGUGUAAUCAUUAUGUACUGCAAGUGUAUACAAAUAAAAUGAAUUCUAAUAAUGGAAGAAAACUUGUGCAAGUCAUGUUGCAGUAAGCGCUCAUAUCCAAAAUACGUAAAUGACAAUGAAAGGACAAACAAGACAUUGACAUAGGUAGAGAAAUUGGGUAGUUCUAAAGGUAUUUGCAUGAGGCUAAAUGUGCACAGGAAGCUUCAAAACACUACUAGUAAUCAAAUAGGUGCAGGGAGAAAACUACAAUUAGGUCACAGUUCAUGCACACUAGGGAGUCCUGAGUAAUGAAAAUGUGAAGUAAGCCUAGUACCAGAGAG